GACGAACGCUGGCGGCGUGCUUAACACAUGCAAGUCGAACGGAAAGGCCCCUUUUUUGGUACUCGCGUGGCUAACGGGUGAGUAACUCGUGAGUAACCUGCCCUUGCCUUCGGUUUUACUUCCGUAAACUGGGUCUAAUACCGGAUAGGUAUCCUUGCUUCAUGGUUGGGGUUGGAAAGCUUCGGCGGUUUUGUAUGGGAUCGCGGCUUAUCUGCUUGUUUGUGGGGUAGUGGCUUACCAAGGCUUUGACGGGUAGCCGGCCUGGGGGGGCGACCGGCCAAAAUGGGACUGAGAAACGGCCCAGGCUCCGACGGGGGGCAGGAGGGGGGAAAAUUGCAAAAAGGGCGGGAGCCUGAUGCAGCAAAGCCGGGGGCGGGAAGACGGGCUUCGGGUUGGAAACCGGAUUCAGCAGGGGAGAAGCUUGGAGUGACGGUAACUGCAGAAGAAGCACCGGCUAACUACGUG
rnacentral:rRNA from 1 species